GAAUAUUUUAACGGAAUGCCAUCCGUUUUCCUCGAGUGUUGUCAGCGCAGGUGCCUGCACCCUGGGGGUUAUAUAUUAGCAUAAUAUCACAUCAACAACGUUUAGAUCCUGUGUUCUUUUUGAACCCUGCUGGCCAUUCAGUCAAUCUCCAAAUACAGUACAGGCUGAACAACAUGUAGCUAUCAUUUACCAUGAGGCAUAAUGCCCAUGCAAGAGGACAGAUAUGGAUUCGGAUAUGUCAGAUAUGCCUGUUCAGCUGUGACGGACCAUAAGGCCAUUCUAGAAUAUCUGGGAAUAGUGACGUUAAGCCUGAUCUGGCCAGCGAUCCCGAUGGAAGUGAUUGAGGAACAUCUGCAGUCUUUCUUCUGUGGAAUGAGCUAAGGAGCUUCAUCCCACUCAGGGCGAGAUGAUCGGAGCGAGAGAAGCUGCGGCUGCACACGGCGCACUGGAAGGGUUUGGCUCCCGUGUGUUUCCUGAAGUGACGUGUCAGCUCAUCAGAACGAGCAAACCGCCAAUCGCAGCCCUCCCACGUGCA